AAAUCUGGCCCCCCGGGGUCCGAGUUGUAAUUUGCAGAGGAUGCUUUUGGUGAGGCGCCGCCCGAGUUCCCUGGAACGGGACGCCACAGAGGGUGAGAGCCCCGUCUGGCUGGCCGCCGAGCCUCUGUAAAGCUCCUUCGACGAGUCGAGUAGUUUGGGAAUGCUGCUCAAAAUGGGAGGUAUAUGUCUUCUAAAGCUAAAUAUUGGCCAGAGACCGAUAGCGCACAAGUAGAGUGAUCGAAAGAUGAAAAGCACCUUGAAAAGAGGGUUAAAUAGUACGUGAAAUUGUUGAAAGGGAAGCGCCUGUAACCAGACUUGGGCGCGGCGGAUCAUCCGGGGUUCUCCCCGGUGCACUUCGCCGCGCCUGGGCCAGCAUCAGUUCGCCGCGGGGGAAAAAUGCUUCGGGAACGUGGCUCCCCCGGGAGUGUUAUAGCCCGUUGCGCAAUACCCUGCGGUGGACUGAGGACCGCGCAUCUGCAAGGAUGCUGGCGUAAUGGUCACCAGCGACCCGUCUUGAAACACGGACCAAGGA
rnacentral:rRNA from 1 species